rnacentral:rRNA from 1 species
CCGGCGAAAUGGGCGAUCCGCAGCGAAGCCCCUGCCGUUCGACGCGAACAUGGGGAACGUUCACAGACUAAGUGGAAGUGGGUGGGGCCUCGACCCGAGGCCCUGCUUAAGAUAUAGUCGGGCCCCUCUGGAAACUCUGGGGAUGGGCGGUCGGCGCCGGCACCCCGGCCCGAUCGCCUGGCUGUUCCGUAGGUGAACCUGCGGAAGGAUCAUU